rnacentral:rRNA from 1 species
AAAUUGAAGAGUUUGAUCAUGGCUCAGAUUGAACGCUGGCGGCAGGCCUAACACAUGCAAGUCGAACGGUAACAGGAAGAAGCUUGCUUCUUUGCUGACGAGUGGCGGACGGGUGAGUAAUGUCUGGGAAACUGCCUGAUGGAGGGGGAUAACUACUGGAAACGGUAGCUAAUACCGCAUAAUGUCGCAAGACCAAAGAGGGGGACCUUCGGGCCUCUUGCCAUCGGAUGUGCCCAGAUGGGAUUAGCUAGUAGGUGGGG